CAAUCUUCUUGUAUUCCCUUUCUUUAUUUUGCUUCCUUUUUAUCACUCAAUUUUCUAAAGGGUUUUUUUUCUUUUAUUUCGCAGAACAUCUGCUCGACCAUUACAAUGGACUCUUCAAGAACUGGGUGCCGACUUUUUUGAUUGUGACAGAUUAUGACAACUAAAUUUGUCUGAAGGUGACCACGAAGGAUGGGCGUCGCUCUUCCUUCGUUUUUUUGAUUUUGACUUUUGUACAUAGUUUACCGAUUUAUGUCAUUUUGUAUAUAUAGUUUUAAGUUGUAAAUAGAUUUAGUUUGUAAGUAGUAUAUAGUAUUAGUUUUUAAGUAUUCCUGACUGGACACCACCUUUUCCAUCCGUGACGGCGACUUGACUGAUUUGGAGGACGAGAUUACACCAUGAUCCCACGGACAGACCUUUCCCUUUCCCAACGACGACUACCGGAUUUGACACCGAAUUUGACAGAACUGGACGGCCAGUCGGGCGUGGCUGCGACUGGCCUUUUAUCUCCCGGAUGCGACAGGCCACUACCUUCUGAAGUACAAGUUUUGUUUUUCCUGAGUAUUCUUUAUUUACACACACACACAAGAAAUUUCUUAGAACGUUAGAAUUUUGUACAAUUAUGUUAUGG
rnacentral:lncRNA from 1 species